CUAGGGUACGAGAGUGCGUUCUCAAGAUUCUGGGGCUACCGUCGAUGGGUGCUUCUUAAGCCCGCUCAGGGCGGGGCGGCUAGCAGUGGGAAUGCAGCGGAGCUUGGAUUUGGAUCCACAACAGGUCCAAGUCAUGUAAGUCUUCUAUCUUGUUUAAGUUUUGUAGAGAAUGAAUCCACGAAGUAGUCUCCAAACAAAGAAAAAUUCUUACUCUCCUUACAAACGAGGAGAAAAUGAAAAGGCGAGCACAGACAACUUCAUCGAAGCCCUGUGACGCUCCGCUGCUCUCACAGACCCCGCCGAUGGAUCUGGAGCUCGAACGCCGAGCCCUCGCUGGAGGACGUGAGGACGUUUUCCAAGAGUUCUUCCCAGCACUAGAAUCCCGCCAUCGCGAGCUCCAACAGCGCUUGGCUUCUGAUGACUGCACUGCACGAGUCUUGCUUUGCGGACAGAUACGGGCCGAAAAAAGAAAAC